rnacentral:rRNA from 1 species
GAUGAACGCUGGCGGCGUGCCUAAUACAUGCAAGUCGAGCGAACAGACGAGGAGCUUGCUCCUCUGACGUUAGCGGCGGACGGGUGAGUAACACGUGGAUAACCUACCUAUAAGACUGGGAUAACUUCGGGAAACCGGAGCUAAUACCGGAUAAUAUAUUGAACCGCAUGGUUCAAUAGUGAAAGACGGUUUUGCUGUCACUUAUAGAUGGAUCCGCGCCGCAUUAGCUAGUUGGUAAGGUAACGGCUUACCAAGGCAACGAUGCGUAGCCGACCUGAGAGGGUGAUCGGCCACACUGGAACUGAGACACGGUCCAGACUCCUACGGGAGACAACAGUAGGGAAUCUUCCGCAAUGGGCGAAAGCCUGACGGAGCAACGCCGCGUGAGUGAUGAAGGUCUUCGGAUCGUAAAACUCUGUUAUUAGGGAAGAACAAAUGUGUAAGUAACUAUGCACGUCUUGACGGUACCUAAUCAGAAAGCCACGGCUAACUACGUG